AAAGCAUAGAAACUUCAGAGGAAGGGGCCCAGCUGCAGGGAUACAGUCAGGAAGUUUUCUUACCCAGAGGAGUGACCUUGUGUCACUGUGGGCCAUGAAUGAAUCUCCUGCUGUGGCUCAGGCUGAGUCCUCUCAUCAGUUACCGUCGCUGGGAAGAGACGCAUGUUCAUUUUCUGGUGGUGCUCCUUACAGAGUGAAUGCCAGCUCCUCCUCAGUCAGAAUGCCAAUUGGCUUUUGAGUGGAUAAUUGUUGCAGUGAGAGCAGUGACAUUGGAAACAACUAUUGCCUGUUUGAAUUACUUAAAGCACCACCAUGAAAAGAAAUACCUGUGAUUUGCUUUCCCGGAGCAAAAGUGCCUCUGAGGAGACACUGCACUCCAGUCAUGAAGAGGAAGACCCUUUGAAAGGAAUGGAACCCUAUCUCGUAAGGAGACUUUCCUGCCGCAACAUCCAGCUUCCCCCUCUCGCCUUCAGACAGUUGGAACAAGCAGACUUGAAGAGUGAAUCAGAGAACCUUCAGAGGCCAACCAGCCUCCCCUUGAAGAUUCUACCCCUGAUUGCUAUCACUUCUGCCGACUCCAGUGGGUGAGUGACCUUGGGUGACAUUGCCCCAUUUUCUAUUUUAAACGAUGAUUGUUAUCUGGGAUCUCUUGAGUUUUGUGGCUCAUUGCUUGAUUUGAGUCAAGGGGAAAUGGGGUUGCUAGAAUCAAGAGAAAAUCUGGUAGUUUUUCUCAGGUAAUUUUGCAGUCUCUAUAACAGGAGACACUUUAGUCAAAUUAUUUUACAUGGAGUAUUUGAAAAAGUAUUGAUGAAUGCAAAUGAGUAUCUGGGGAAAGGAAAUUGGGCUUGGAAAUUAAUACUGGUCACAGGUGAUUAAACAGAAAAAUUUCUUAACAAAUGAGAACUAAUAGACAAAUUAACAUGUAGGCAUACCUAUCUGAGAACAGUAGGCAAUAUUCACUGAUGCAAAAUGAAUUUGGAAUCAAGAAUAGAUUGGACUAUAAUUAGAAUCAAAGGAAAUACACAACCGGUCAUGAGCUAAUAAUUUGGCCUUUGACAUUUUCAGAUCUUGCUUACCAGAAUACUGUUUCAGUUCCUAGCAUAAGGAGUUUUAUUCUGCAUUAAGAUGUAUAGAAGAAUGAGUGAGGC
ensembl:lincRNA